GACGAACGCUGGCGGCGUGCUUAACACAUGCAAGUCGAACGGAAAGGCCCUGCUUUUGUGGGGUGCUCGAGUGGCGAACGGGUGAGUAACACGUGAGUAACCUGCCCUUGACUUUGGGAUAACUUCAGGAAACUGGGGCUAAUACCGGAUAGGAGCUCCUGCUGCAUGGUGGGGGUUGGAAAGUUUCGGCGGUUGGGGAUGGACUCGCGGCUUAUCAGCUUGUUGGUGGGGUAGUGGCUUACCAAGGCUUUGACGGGUAGCCGGCCUGAGAGGGUGACCGGCCACAUUGGGACUGAGAUACGGCCCAGACUCCUACGGGAGGCAGCAGUGGGGAAUAUUGCACAAUGGGCGGAAGCCUGAUGCAGCAACGCCGCGUGCGGGAUGACGGCCUUCGGGUUGUAAACCGCUUUCGCCUGUGACGAAGCGUGAGUGACGGUAAUGGGUAAAGAAGAACCGGCUAACUACGU
rnacentral:rRNA from 1 species